UUACCAUAUCAUCACACCUUUCCCAUUGCAGAAAACCAGGAUCAGUAGGAGCAGGUCGUACAAGUGUUCCAUUGAUGAAUCCUGUUUUGCUUUUCACUGAUAGAGCUCUAAGUACAGCUCUUCUCCAAGAUCUGUAACCUGUACCAUCAAAACUGCAGGCAAUAGAGAAGAUCCAGCACUUUCUGAUGGAUGCAAGUAAAGAGGACUGGCAAAAUCUAUUCGAACUGAUGUGGGAUCAGCAUGAAGAUGAGAGGAACUCGAAUUAGCUUCAGCUUGGAGAUCAACCAUAUUGAGAAUCGCAAAGAGAUUCAAUCACUCGACAAUCAACCAAUAA
rnacentral:lncRNA from 1 species